rnacentral:rRNA from 1 species
AAGACGACUCACUGGGCCUGUCCUGACGCUGAGGUGCGAAAGCCAGGGGAGCGAACGGGAUUAGAUACCCCGGUAGUCCUGGCCAUAAACGAUGUCCACUAGGUCGAUGACAUUCUGACAUGGUGUCGGCCGAAAGAAAACCGUUAAGUGGACCGCCUGGGGAGUACGGUCGCAAGGCUAAAACUCAAAGGAAUUGACGGGGGCUCACACAAGCGGUGGAGCAUGUUGCUUAAUUCGAUGCAACGCGAAGAACCUUAUCCUGGGCUUGACAUGCUUGGAUGCCCCCCUGGAAACAGGGAUCGGCUGCCCUUCGGGGUGAAACUUGCACAGGUGCUGCAUGGCUGUCGUCAGCUCGUGUCGUGAGAUGUUGGGUUAAGUCCCGUAACGAGCGAAACCCUUGUCGUUAGUUGCCAGCGGGUCAUGCCGGGGACUCUAACGAGACUGCCGGUGUCAAACCGGAGGAAGGUGGGGAUGACGUCAAGUCCUCAUGGCCUUUAUGCCCAGGGCCGCAAACGUGCUACAAUGGCUGGUACAAACCGACGCGAGACCGCGAGGUGGAGCAAAUCGGAAAAAGCCAGCCCCAGUUCGGAUUGCAGUCUGCAACUCGACUGCAUGAAGUCGGAAUCGCUAGUAAUCGCGCAUCAGCGUGGCGCGGUGAAUAUGUUCCUGAGCCUUGUACACACCGCCCGUCAAGUCAUGGAAGCUGGGAGCACCCGAAGUCGGGACAAUUCAGUCCUGCCGAAGGUGAGCUCGGUGACUGGGACUAAGUCGUAACAAGGUAACCAAGGGCGAA